GAGAGACGUUGGUUAGACCUCCAGGAGAGCAGAUUUAAGAAAGGAAAAAAACUGCUGCACAACAGGAGCUGGGAAAGAGGAGUGAGAAAAAUCCCUGCAGACCCCAAGAAGGAGCAGUGAGAGAGCAGCUGUGGUAGAGUUCAGCUGCACAGCAGGGUAAAACCACCACACUAGGAAAGUCAAAACCCACCUGCACUUGUGAAUCUUGUGAGGGAAAUGACAGAAGGACUUCUACAUGUAUCAUCAGCAAAAGGAAGUUGAGGGUAAAAGUGAGUCCAUUACUGAAUGGAGCAGGAGAUCCAAAGACAAAGAAUAUGGAAAAGACUUGAAUGAUGAACAGACUGUACCUUCAGCAAGUUUGCAAAUCUUAUAAUACUGGGAAUGUCAAGGAUACAUUGCAUAUGUCCAUUGCUAUUCAGAGAGAUCUUGACAAGUUGGAGGAAUGUGCAGACAGGAACCUCAUGAAGUUCCUCAAAGGGAAAUAUUAAGUCCUGUACCUGGGGAGGAACAAAACCAGACACAAAUACACACUGAUGGACAACUGACCGAGAAGCAACUUUUCAGAGAAAGCCCAAGGAAUACUUGUUAACCAUGCCUAGUGGGCCUUAAGCUCAUCCCAAACAAAUAAGACAGUCUGCAGAAUGACAAAGACGUAAAAUACGCUUUAAGCUAUCUUCUGUUUCAAGUAAUAGAGGUGUUGGAAAUUACUUAUUAGAAAUGAUACAAGAAUUAGGAAAUAUCUUAAUAUUUAUUAAAAAAAAUAUUUCUGGAAUAUUUUGCUUCUUACAGAAACUGUCUCCUAUAAAAUAGUAAGGUAUUUGAGCACUAGUAGAUAUCAGAGGUAUAUACGCAGUAGGAUUCAAGACUCCCACCCAGUACUUUAUAACAAUUUAUUAUAUGAAAUGUUUAUAAAGUUAGUUUUUUUGUUUUUGUU